rnacentral:miRNA from 1 species
UCAAAUAUGAAGAUGCAAUAA